rnacentral:rRNA from 1 species
UUGGUGAGGUAAAGGCUUACCAAGGCGACGAUCAGUAGCUGGUCUGAGAGGACGACCAGCCACACUGGGACUGAGACACGGUCCAGACUCCUACGGGAGGCAGCAGUGGGGAAUUUUGGACAAUGGGGGMAACCCUGAUCCACCCAUGCCGCGUGAGAGAAG